ensembl:lncRNA
GAGAGCGGAGCUAUGAAAGAACAGAAGUGGAUUCAGGCCUUAACUCGGUUGCAGGCUCAGUGUCGUGGUUAUGUGAUGAGGAAAAAACUAAGUUUGGUUCGGACUCAGUUUGAGGAGACAGUGCGAGAGAUUGAUGGAGGACUGGAUCACCUGCAGUGGAGAGGAAACAUCAUUCCCAAACCUCACUUCACUGACACUGAAAGCCUAUUGUUGCAGUAUGACCGCUCCAGGUUUCAGUCCCAUGACUGUCUGGAUGAUUCAGAGAGGGAACAGAAAACAGAGAUUGAGGGCAGUGAGAAAUCUCUCCCACGGUCUGAAAUCCAGGUACCGGAGAGAGACCAAGCUGCUGAAACAGCCAGAAGAGAUUCUUCCACGCCUGUGGAUGAUAUUGUGGACAAGAGAGGAGAGAAUGUGGUCAUAAAAAACCUGAUGGAUGGUUCUACUAAACUUUGCAGUACCGUGAAUUCAGAUGUCAGCCUCAGCAGCUUAUUUCAGACAGGAACAAAUUUGCAUUCAGUUUUUAAAGACACAGCACACACUCUUGACUCUCUGAAGCAGCAGCGGAGCGCUUUAGCCAUGGAGCUGCUGUGGAUCCAGCAAGCCAUCAGUAGCAGAAAGAAAUAUCUUACCCUCAAACUGAGAAUGGAUGUGCCACACUGAUACUGG